rnacentral:rRNA from 1 species
AACGAACGUUGGCGGCGUGGAUUAGGCAUGCAAGUCGAACGAAUCCCUGAGGGCUUGCUCUCAGGGGGAAGUGGCGAAAGGGGCAGUAAUGCGUGGGUAACCUACCUCGGGGACGUGGAUAGCCUUCCUAACGGAAGGGUAAUACGCGGCGAUCUGGUUGGGAGACAUCUCCUGUCCAGGAAAUGAAUUUCGCCUCGAGAGGGGCUCACGUCGUAUUAGCUUGUUGGUGAGGUAACGGCUCACCAAGGCAAAGAUGCGUAGCGGGUGUGAGAGCACGACCCGCGCCACUGGCACUGAGACACUGGCCAGACUCCUACGGGUGGCUG